UACGGAGGGAGCUAGCGUUGUUCGGAAUUACUGGGCGUAAAGCGCACGUAGGCGGCUUUGUAAGUAAGAGGUGAAAGCCUGGAGCUCAACUCCAGAACUGCCCUUUAGACUGCAUCGCUUGAAUCCAGGAGAGGUGAGUGGAAUUCCGAGUGUAGAGGUGAAAUUCGUAGAUAUUCGGAAGAACACCAGUGGCGAAGGCGGCUCACUGGACUGGUAUUGACGCUGAGGUGCGAAAGCGUGGGGAGCAAACAGG
rnacentral:rRNA from 1 species